GGCUCAGAAUAUAAAGAGUACAGGCCUUGUACUGCACAGCAUCACAUACUGUCAAGAAAGGUUCAGAUAAAAUCCACCCACAAAUACAUGAGUCAUAACUCAGAAACAUAUUCCAAUGUAGACAUAUCUUGAGUCACUUCCAUCUCAAAAGCUUAUAAAUAUUUAGUUAGCCACUUAGCUUUUAAUUUAGCAGAAAAACAAAGGUUUAUUAGACAAAUCUCCAUAAUUAUCUUUCACUAAGAAAGUUCUUAAAUACUUCCACUCUUGCCAGUUCAUUUUCAUUUCUAUAUAACCCAGAAUUAUUAGGUACAAAUAACUGUCAAAAAUCCUAUUUGAACUAAAAACUAAUUUCUGUGGUUCUUCUGUAAUUAUUUGCACUUAUUUCUAAUACCAGCUUUGUUCAUUGUAAGAAUAUAAUUUGAUCUGAGCAGUAACUGGUGAGUAACUGAAUACAUCUCUCCUGAUAUGGCUUGGCACAUCAGCUCUUUCUAAAGGCCACUGUCAGUCAGACCAUGCUGGAGUCAGUGAGGAUGUACAUGGACACAUAAAUGAAAAAUACAUCAAUACAUUUUCUGGAAGAACCAGCUGAGGUUUUAGGGGAAAGUCUGUAUAAAAAAGGCUUGCUUGUAUCUCUGUUUUUGCUAGUGGCAGGAGGAGAGGAUAAGAAUUAUAAUAUUUAAGGUAUAGCCUUAAAAAACUCUACCUAUCAUUGUUUUAUAAAAUCAUAAAUUUGUUGUUAUGAUUACAAGUGUUUGAAUUAAAAAUAUUUUUUAUGUAAGGAUGCAAGUCUUGAGUUUACAUCUCUCCAUUUAACAGGUUGAACUAGAAGCCAGGGAGUGCUUGACAGACCAUCUCCCACUGCAGAGAGUUCAGGGACUACUGGAGUCCCACGAAUCCCAGCUGCACAGUGCUCCUCCAGCAAAGCUGUUGGAACCAUGGAACAGAAAGAUAAUCAGCAAAGACUGGCUGAUGAGCCAAGGCUGCAACAAAGAACCAGUACAGGUGAUGGGAGGAGCAAAGCCUUCCCAAAGAAAGAAGGAGCCUGGCAACUGCAAUAACCCCCCAAAGCCUGAACAAAUGAGAAAGGAGAGGUGAGCUUUUCUCUCAAUAUAGCAUAUAUUAUUAUACUGAAAUUGCCAUAGCAAUAAAGCUACAGCUAUUUAUUAUAGCAUGAAGAGCUAAUCAAAACCAACCAUCAGAGACAGCUGAACCCUGAUGAACACAGGGGUUUGGAACGGAAUGAUCUUUAAGGUCCCUUUCAACUCAAGCCAUUCUGUAAUUCUGUGAACACUCAGCCUCAUAAAGUAGACUUGUUAUUUUCCAGUAAAUAAUAAAGGGCUUAGGUAGAACAUUAGCAUGGCAAGGUACCAAAACAAGAGCUGUAUCUAGUUUUGGAUGAUUUCCUGUAAAGUUUCUGAUGUUGAAGGUGACUCAAAACACUGCACAACCAAUCAACAUUGUAUGAGGGUAACUGGAAAGUUGAAAAUCUGACAAAUUUCUAGAGAGUUUAAAAACUAGAGGUGAUGUAAAAAAACAGAGUGGGUUAUUUUUCCUGUUUCACACUCAAAGGGUAAUUUAACAUUCUGAAAACUGUUCUGUGGCAGAGCCACAAUUGUAUAAAGUCUUAGAAUAUAAAGUUUUAUAAAGUAGCUGAUGGCAUGGGUAUGGGUCAGUUUGAAAUACCAUCACCUUCUGAACCUAUGUGCUUGUUCUUUUGUUUAUGUGCUGGAUUAAAGUGACUGCCUGACU